GAUGAACGCUGGCGGCGUGCCUAAUACAUGCAAGUCGAGCGAACGGACGAGAAGCUUGCUUCUCUGAUGUUAGCGGCGGACGGGUGAGUAACACGUGGAUAACCUACCUAUAAGACUGGGAUAACUUCGGGAAACCGGAGCUAAUACCGGAUAAUAUUUUGAACCGCAUGGUUCAAAAGUGAAAGACGGUCUUGCUGUCACUUAUAGAUGGAUCCGCGCUGCAUUAGCUAGUUGGUAAGGUAACGGCUUACCAAGGCAACGAUGCAUAGCCGACCUGAGAGGGUGAUCGGCCACACUGGAACUGAGACACGGUCCAGACUCCUACGGGAGGCAGCAGUAGGGAAUCUUCCGCAAUGGACGAAAGCCUGACGGAGCAACGCCGCGUGAGUGAUGAAGGUCUUCGGAUCGUAAAACUCUGUUAUUAGGGAAGAACAUAUGUGUAAGUAACUGUGCACAUCUUGACGGUACCUAAUCAGAAAGCCACGGCUAACUACGUGCCAGCAGCCGCGGUAAUACGUAGGUGGCAAGCGUUAUCCGGAAUUAUUGGGCGUAAAGCGCGCGUAGGCGGUUUUUUAAGUCUGAUGUGAAAGCCCACGGCUCAACCGUGGAGGGUCAUUGGAAACUGGAAAACUUGAGUGCAGAAGAGGAAAGUGGAAUUCCAUGUGUAGCGGUGAAAUGCGCAGAGAUAUGGAGGAACACCAGUGGCGAAGGCGACUUUCUGGUCUGUAACUGACGCUGAUGUGCGAAAGCGUGGGGAUCAAACAGGAUUAGAUACCCUGGUAGUCCACGCCGUAAACGAUGAGUGCUAAGUGUUAGGGGGUUUCCGCCCCUUAGUGCUGCAGCUAACGCAUUAAGCACUCCGCCUGGGGAGUACGACCGCAAGGUUGAAACUCAAAGGAAUUGACGGGGACCCGCACAAGCGGUGGAGCAUGUGGUUUAAUUCGAAGCAACGCGAAGAACCUUACCAAAUCUUGACAUCCUUUGACAACUCUAGAGAUAGAGCUUUCCCCUUCGGGGGACAAAGUGACAGGUGGUGCAUGGUUGUCGUCAGCUCGUGUCGUGAGAUGUUGGGUUAAGUCCCGCAACGAGCGCAACCCUUAAGCUUAGUUGCCAUCAUUAAGUUGGGCACUCUAAGUUGACUGCCGGUGACAAACCGGAGGAAGGUGGGGAUGACGUCAAAUCAUCAUGCCCCUUAUGAUUUGGGCUACACACGUGCUACAAUGGACAAUACAAAGGGCAGCGAAACCGCGAGGUCAAGCAAAUCCCAUAAAGUUGUUCUCAGUUCGGACUGUAGUCUGCAACUCGACUACAUGAAGCUGGAAUCGCUAGUAAUCGUAGAUCAGCAUGCUACGGUGAAUACGUUCCCGGGUCU
rnacentral:rRNA from 1 species